CUUUUUUUUUAUUACUGAAUUGCCGUUGUUUUUGUUGGGUUCUGCUCUAUUCUGUAUUGGGUUGUUCUAAUGUGAGAAAUGCAUGAGGUAGUAAAUAUUAAAAUCAUGAUUGUACCAGUUAGUUUAAGUAUUUUGUUUCUUGCAGCUAAGCAGAUUGUUGUUUUGUUAUAGUGAUAACGUGGAUUUGGGCUUUGAUUUUUGAUGUUUAGGAAAAACAAAAAAAGACUUGUAUUGGAAUUCGACUUAGAAUUUUAGCUUUGGUCUUUUUUGAGUCGGAUAUAUGUUUUAUUUCUCCAGAUUGUAAUGUUUCUGUAUCUGUUUUAAAUUACGCAUUUCUAUGUCCUAGGCUGGAAGAGGCUUUGCAAAAAAUGGGCAUUAGUUCUUUGUUUCCGGUGCAAUUAGCGGCAUGGCAAGAGACGAUUGGCCCUGGUUCGUUUGAGCGAGACCUUUGUAUAAAUUCACCAACAGGAAGUGGGAAAACUCUGGCUUAUGCUCUGCCAAUUGUGCAAAUGUUGUCGACUCGUGCAGUAAAAUGUCUUCGUGCUUUGGUGGUCUUGCCUACUCGUGACUUGGCUUUGCAGGUUUAUAUGCGUACUGUGUCUCAUGGAAAAUUUAUCUCGUGAUGUACAUUUUUCCUAAAACGUUAAUAUUUACUAAUUCUGCUGAAUUUGUUGACUCGGCUGAAGUGGUCGAUGGCUGUUUAUUAUUAUUAUUAUUUGAAGGUGUUUCAGUUUGGUAAUAGUUUUCAUUGGACAGUGAUUGGUCCUAGAUCAUGUGUUGAAUUCUUGCACAAUCUUUUUCUUGUGAUCUUAUCAAAGUGUUUUGGCUUGUUAUUAUUAUUAUUUUUAAAGUGACUUUUAGGUCAAGUGGAGUGGUAUUAGCAUGUAUGGAGUUUUAUGUCAAUUGAAUUCGGUUCUUUUGAAAGAUGUGCAGACUAACUAAACCACUUGGAUGUUAGACUGUCUCAUCCUUUAUCCUUCAAAUGUUUAAAGGACAUGUUUAUAUGGUUUCAUUUCCUUUUUGUAGGUCAAGGAUGUCUUUGCUGCUUUUGCACCUGCAGUUGGUCUGUCUGUGGGUUUAGCUGUUGGUCAGUCUUCUAUUGCUGAUGAGAUCUCACAGCUCAUUAAGAAGCCUAAGCUUGAGGCAGGAAUGUGUUACGACCCUGAAGAUGUUGUGCAGAAGUUCCAAAGUUCUGUGGAUAUACUGGUGGCUACACCUGGAAGGUUGAUGGAUCAUAUCAGCAACACAAAGGGUUUUACGUUGGAACACCUUUCUUUUCUUGUAAGGCAUUUACUCUGUUAUAUCUAGUUCUGCAUGUGAAUUUUUUUAUUCUUUGAUUUUAGGAAUUCACAGUGCAUUUGCCAUCAGUAUAAAUUCUCUAUCUUGAUUAGCCUGCUGAUGGUAAAUUUGAAAUAAUUGUCUGGCAUCUUGUCUACUGAUAGCCGUCUCUUCUAUAGAUUGUUUAGAUCUGGAUUUCUUGUUUCUUUUCUUCUUUUAUUUGUCAAAGGAUUUGAAGUUGACUUUCAGAUCAAAUGUUGUUCAGCCUUGUUGAUUGCUUAUAACAAAUCAAUGUUACAUUCUGAAUUUCAACACCAUUUAUAUAACUGUUUUGAUGCUUUCAUUGGAUUGAUGUCCCUUAAAGCUGGACUUACAAAAGUUACAACUGAAUCUAGACCUGGCUAGGUUGAGACAUAUCAGGACUGUGAACCUCGUAUUCAUACUUUAGAUUGGUAUUGAAUUAAUUUUUUCUCAUGUUAAAAAACAUUUCUCUAACAGGUCACUAUUUAUAGGUGGUUGAUGAAACAGAUAGGCUACUUAGGGAGGCUUAUCAAUCUUGGUUGCCAACAGUCCUCCAAGUGGCCCAAUGUUGCAACAACAAUUUCUUCCCCUCUGCUGGCAGUUGUGCAUCUACAUUUGGUUCACUGAGGACCAUUCGCAGAAAGUGAGUUUUUGGUUUUCAGCUUCCUUUACAAAUUUAGUAGGUUACUUUUAUGAAUAUGGUUCCUUGGUGUGGAAGGUCAAUGCUAACAAAAUGUGUGGUGUAGCAUGUGUUACACGAGUUAGUAUUCGCAUCGAAUUCAACGGAUCUGUCUGAGUACAGUUGCCAGCUAGCCUUACCCUUGUUCAUUAGAUAAUAUCGUGGAAGCAUAUUGUUUUUUCAUCGCCUACAUGGCACAGACUGUUCAUGCUUGCCCUGCCAAGGGCAAUCACAUUUUUAUACCACCACUAGCCACUGAUCUAACUAAUUCUCUUAAUGGAUUUCUCGAGGUCAUUCAAUGUUUGCCAAUAUGCUACUCUUAUCAUGCAUUCAUGCAUCAAAAAUCAGACUGGUCUAGGGGUUAUUAGACCUUGCACAGGAUUUGUGGUCUUGUGGCUUGGAGUUUAUCAGUAAGGCAUUGUCAGCAAGUUCCCCACACUCACCAUCCUUGUUGGAGAAAGAGCGCUAUACGUGAAAUGUACCUUUUACUUUUCAUAUUUCGUAUAGCAUCUAUGCAUUUUGUUAUAUCUCUUUUUAUUUAUUGUAGAACAGAACAUUGAGCAUGUUUGCUUCAUGUACAUGGUUUUUGCCGCCUUUGGCUAAAGGACCAUCUUUAUUGUAAGAAUGAAGCUUCUUUGGCACAUUGACUACAAAAUGGCAGACUUCUCAGCUCAGAGGAGUUUUUUUUUUCUUUUAGAGUUCUGCCUACUUUAUCGUUCUCAGCUCUUUUUCCCUUCCUUGAAUUGCUUUGACUCCUGCAUUCAGAUGCUACCAGGCCUGCCCUAAUCCUGUGUAAGCCACCUGAAACACACUGAUCAUAAUUUACAUGCCCACCGAGCACCUAGACACUUGGUCCUUUUGCAGAUAUCUUAUGGAGAAUGCACAUGGCUUGCUGCUAGAUUUUGGACCCAGAUUGUUAUGGUUCUGUGUUCUUACAUUAGAGUGAAAAUUGUGGUAUUAUCUGAAAGGGAACUAUACUAGUAAUGCUCUUAGUUGCAAUGUUAAUUGUAAUUGGUUUUGCAUUUUUUAGGAUCUUUUUAAAUGCCAGCUUGUUGCCUUUUUAUUAUUUUUCAGAAUUUGUUUGUCCCUCUAAAGUUUGGACUAGAUGGGCAUUGGGAGUAUGUGAGAGUGUACCUUGUGUCCAUGCUGUCCUGAAAUCUCUCAUUAUAUUCUUUCAUCAAAGUUUUUGAAUAUUUUGUUUUCCUCAAAAUGCAUUACUGUUCAAAGAUUCAUACUGUGCUCUCUCUUAUACUUGGCUUUGUUAUAUGGUGAAUUGUGCAGUGGGGUAGAAAGAGGCUUCAAGGGUAAGCUUUACCCAAGGCUUGUGAAAAUGGUUCUAUCUGCCACUCUAACACAAGACCCAGGCAAACUUGCACAGCUUGAUUUGCAUCAUCCUUUGUUCUUGACUACUGGAGAAAAGCGUUAUCAACUCCCUGAUCAGUUGAAGUCCUUUAAAGUGGUAUGAACACUGACAACUCUCUGAAUUGUACUAGGAGAACAGUGGGGCUUUCUCUGUCUUACAUUAAUCAUUUUAUGAUAAUUAUAUAUUUCUUCAUCAUAGGCACCAAUGGAAGCCACCUUGUUUAUACUGAUUGAUCUCCCUUGACAUAAUUUUCCUUUGCCACUAGCUAUUACCUAGGCACCUCUAGGCUCAUUAAGUGUUAGUUCUGGUAUUCCCUGGAUCCAAUUCUUUAGCAAUUGUUUAUAUCUGUCGUCCAUUAAUUUUGGCAUCUCAACUAGAAAAACAAAGUAGCUGGUAUAAUUUCACUGCACAGCUUUAAUAAGUUUCAAUCAUCACUCUUGAUGAAUAUUUGCCCCCUACAAGUUGCAAGUCAAUCUUCCAAGCUGUGAUGCCCCACCAAACUUACUGGGCUUGUGGUAAAUCCCAAAGGGCAUCACCCUGUGACCAUCUUGUGAGCUAGCAAACAUAUUUCAUUUACUUCGUUAGACGGAGAUUAUUUUAGUCUUUGGCAUAAAGAUCUUCAAGCAAGAUACAAGGUGAAACAACAUUAAUAAUAUCUAGUUGUAAAUUAUCUGUCCAGGUCAUUAGAAGAAUAAUAAAAGCACUCUUUACUUGGCCCCUUCCAGCAUUCAUCUCACUUAGCCUUCACCAAACGACAUUAAAAUUCUUGCCAUUUGAUUUCUUAAGGUAUGAAAGAAACGUGAAAUUUUUUCCCCCCAGAUAAAGUUUGACUGUUGAUAGUGGUGGUGAAGUGCUGUAGGGUUGGAACACCUACCUCCAUACACUUCCUGCUAGUCAGUUUAAUGACUGUAUUACUCUUAUGUUGUUAAAUCAUUUACUAGGAUUAUAUAUUUACCUCAAAGCUGUCAAAAGUAUUCCAGGGUCCAUAAAAACAAAUUACAUUUUGACUUCGACAAGUCCGAAGCUUGAAUCAUUUUUAGUCAGGCACAUGUAUCUUGGAAUUAUAUAUGUUUUGUCUAUAUGAUCUUCAAUUACUACUGAGGUUGAUUUACGAGCUAAACAGAUGCAUUGGAAUUUCUUAGUGCUAAUGUUUUCAAUUCAAAAAUAGUGUGUGAUGAUGAGGUACUUGUUCAGUUAAAGACUUGGUAGUUGAAAGCCUAAAAAAUGGGGUUUGAUAAUUAUCUCCCCUUAAAAGGGUUUGCUUUUGGAGUUGGUUCUUGAAAAGCACAAGUGAAUUAUACAUACUACCUGUACUGCUUUUGAGUUUUAAGCUGGUAUAUGUCUGGUUUAGAAGUUUUUAGUGUCAGCAUCAAGAAUUUGCAGUUCUUGCUUGAACAUAAUUUAAAAUACUAUCUACCCCAUUUUGUUUGUCAUUGUAACUGCUGCAUAGUUUGCGGCAUUUUAAGUCUGACCAAGACAAAUCACCUAUCAAACUCUGAUUUCUACUGUUAACCUUGAUUUAAAGUUGGUUUCUACUAUAAGGUUCUUGCUUUGGAGAUUGCACAAAGGUUGAAAUGGAUAAAUAGUUUUCGUUUAUUUGAUUUUUUAAACCAUGACAAGUAUAUUGGCAAGGACAAAAAUAGUAGUUAUGACUGAUGAAAUGUGGAGGGAGUAUAAAAUAAUAUCUACUAUAUAUGAUUGGCUAUAGCAAUAGCAAAUCAUCUUGCUAUAGGAAUUACUUUCUAUCUGUUUCACCCUUACAGUUUUUAGAUGGAGAUAUUUUAGAAUAGGUAAUAGAACAUGCAUUCCUCUUAUUUCUCUUGUACAGUUCCAGCCUACUUCCUCCUCAUUGUGAAGUAAUAGUUUUCAGGAACUCGUUUGCUUUAGUCUGGCGACGUACGUAAACUAGUGAUUUUGACACUUUACCACACAUUCUUCCAUUACCAAUCUGAAUAAAAGACCUAUUGAAGCUUCAACUUGCCAUGUUGAUGAAGCAGUGAAAAUUUCUUCCUUUUGUUUUAAACAUUGCUAGGCUGAAAAUUGGUACAUCAUCUUUCGUUCCAUAUACAGCUUAAUGUGUUGGGAAUAAUAGUGGUUUUUAUCAAACUGUUGGAUAUUAUGAAAUGGAGUUUUCUCCUUCCAAUAAUGAGUAAUUUGGUUACUUCACAAGCAUCCAAGUUUUCUUCUAAUGGGGUGUGUUAAUUAUGAUGAAUCUACUUAUUUUUGGAAUAUAUAUAUAUAUAUAUUUGUGCAUGUAUAUGGAUAUAGUCAUGUACGCAUAUAGCUAUAUAUCUGUGUUUCAAGACAAACUAUUAAAUGAAUGUGAUUGUUUUCUGCAGAUAUGUGAAUCAAAGCUUAAACCCCUUUAUUUGGUAGCUCUUCUGCAGAGUUUGCAAGGGGAGAAAUGCAUUGUUUUUACAUCAUCGGUGGAGUCAACUCAUAGGCUAUGCACAUUACUUAAUUUUUUUGAUGACUUGAAUUUUGAGAUCAAGGAGUAUUCCCGUCUUCAACGCCAAUCUGUAAGAAGGUAAGCAACGUAUGUUUGGAUAUUGUUCAUCAUCUUUUUAAGCUGUUGUACCAAUAGUUCACAUUGUUGAAGUAACUUUUGGCUGGAUGGUGUUGUUUAAUUGCCCUCUUUUGUGAGGUAAUCAUCUUCGUUUUGUUAAAGCAACUUUAAGCCCAGCACAAGAGGGCACUACUAAUUUAUCAAUGAAUUUGGAGAAAAUCAUAAGAGAAGAACUUUGGUCUCUUCUGCAUCACCGACGUCCAACAUUUACAUCCUAUUGCCUUUAAAUUUUCCUAUGAACAUUGUUCUUAAGCUGCUAUCAAGAUCUUCAAUGUGAAGUGGCACAAACUAGAUGCUGGCUAUUCUUGUACUUUUUACUAAUAGAACAGUGAAUUUGCCCAAGCACAAUUUUCAAGUACCUAAAGGAGUUAGCUAUGCCCAAGUCAUUGUCUUGGAGUUGGCUCAUAUAGCUUUGUAGAUUUUGUGCUUGGCCCCUUUAUAGUAGAUAUUGGCUCAUGGACCUUCUAUAUUUCUCAACUAACAGAUUGAUAUGACCUAUCAAAGCUUUGCUACCAUCAUGAGAAUGAUGCAUAAUUUUUAACCUUGUGGAAGAGAAACUCCUAGUCUUCUCUACAGUUGGAUAGAGAAAUGUUUGCUUUGUUGUUGUUACUUUUUACCAGGGGUUUCUGAAUAUCAAAACCUUAUAACUGCUGGCCCUAUUCUUUUACAAUGAGUUAACUAAGCCAUUGAUUCCUUCACUUAGUGAGUGUACCUUUCCAUGAUUCUUUAAGUAUGAAAAAACAAGAAUAUAAUUUCAAAACCUACCUGAAAAUGUAGCUGUGGCACUCAUUUUAUCACGAGUAAGUACUUCCUUGGGGAAAGCUUCUGGCAUGAAGAAGUUGUGUAUUUAAUUGGAGGUUGUGGUUGUUGGUUGUACAGAGUGAUGGCAUUGGCAACAGGGAUCAUAAAAUUGUGGGAUGGUGGAUAUUAUUUGAUGUGAGUGAUGGCUUGUUGAAAACUACAUAGCCAUUCAUAUAGCAAUGUUGUUGGUAGGAGACUGGACUAGGGAGUGACCCAGGAAAUAUACAAACUGAGGUGGAUUUUUUGCUUGAGGGGUUUUUAGUUGGACUGAGACUUUAUUGGGUUUUUUGUUGUCCUGAGAAAGGAAGCAAUGCACAGGUUAAUGUUGGGUUUCGAAUUUGGCUGCUGAAUUUGAUGGUAAGCCAUCCUUUGACAGGAAGAUGUUAUGCACUCUAAUUCUGAACAAAUUUAUGUUGCUGAGAAGCCUUUAUGAUGAAAUAUUUUAAGUGGCACAGUGCUUGAGUGAAUGUGUAUUCAUGAUGCUUCUCUUUAGAUUAUUUUUUGAAAAUAUGGAACAGAAAAAGAGACAGCUUCAUUGAUGUUUUGUAUUCUUUCAAACAAGAACAGAGAAACUAGAAAUAAUGUGGUUAUGAGCAUUCUUUUACCAACAAUAGUGUUAAAACUACUAAAUCCUACGAGGCUCCCUUCCGGUUAGAAAUGGGUGUUAGAAAAAGCGAUGUACUGAAUUAGUAUGAAGCAUAGAUCUUGUCAUGAUCUACAACAUUAAUGUUCUCAUUAGCUUCAAAAUCAUUUUGCAUUGUCAUGUUGUUCUGAAUAUAAUAUGCUUCUUGGUCACUUUCUAUAAAGAGCCAAUAUAACUUUGAUGGCCAAAUCUAUAACCCACUAAUCCCUCCACUGUUAAAAGGUUCACAUAUGUUUCUUAGAAACUCUUCAGCCUUUUUUUUUCCUCCAUACAAUUAAUCAAGCUAGAGUUGCUUAGGAUGACAAAAAAAUUUUCCAUAAUCGCCCAUAUUCACCAAAAUUUAGUUUGGUUCGAGAAUGAUGCCACAGAUUAUGUAAUUUAAUAUGUGUUGUUUUCAGAGAAGUGCUUCUUUGGUAGAUAUCGAAUGUGUGAGAGUUUUCUAACCAACAAAGAAAGAAAUCAUUCACAUGAUGGAAAGAAAAAACAAAAUGAUAUUUGUUGGUUUCUUGAAUCUUUUGUGUAUUAUUGUGGUUGGGAUGAAUUUUUGCAAGGUAACCUGUAGAAGGUGUAUACCAACUGUCCAAUAUCAAUGCACUUCUAUCAUAUCUUUAAAUGGUACUAGUAGUUUAAUAAGCAAAAAGCAGAUCUUGGAUGCUUAAGAACAAUCCUAAAUUUCCUCAUACCUUUUUUCCACUAGCAUAUUUACAAUAUGGAACUUCAUUAAGAAUGUAAAUCUUCUACAGCAAAACUUUGAAGGCAUUCCGAGCAGGGGAAAUCCGUGUUCUUGUUUCCUCUGAUGCAAUGACUCGUGGAAUGGAUGUUGAAGAGGUUAGAAAUGUCAUCAAUUAUGACAUGCCUCCAUAUAUUAAGACUUAUAUUCAUCGAGCCGGUCGAACUGCCAGAGCGGGUAAAUCUGGUUGCUGUUUCACACUGCUUCACAAAGAUGAGGUUAGUUGUCUUUCUUUCUUGUUGUCUAUCAAUUAUAGGAUCCUAUCCACUUUGAAGUCCUUCUCUGGGGGCCUAUUUUACUUCUCUUAGAGCUCUUUUGGUUCACAUAUUGGACAAGGGAUGAUGCGUCACCCUCAGAUUGAAUUUCGUGGGAAGACUCUGUUGCAAUUAUUCAUGCUCUUUAAACAUUUUUUUCAAGUUUGGUCAAGUAUUGAAUUAUUGAUUGGAUAUGCCAUAAAUAGUCCUUUUAAAAGAUUGGUAGGAUGGGAUUAUAGUUUAGUUGCUGAAAAAGUGAAGGAUCCAUAUUGUUUUGUUGUCACACCAAGCAAGCAGCACAUGGUAGAUUAUCCCAUCCUCCACGUUCGGCUGUGUAGCCCUCAACUGGGGAAAAGUGUACUACUUACCUAUCAAAUGGAGAGAACUAACCUAUAUUUCCCUCCUUGAGACAUCAUUGUUUACUUAUAUUAUCCACUUCUGUGGCAAACUCUUCUUCUUUAUUAUGAAGGAUUUUACUUUUGGCAGCAAAACUUAGCUAACCAGCAAAUGUCUAUCUGUAUUUCAAGGCUGUAAGAUUUAGGGGAUUGCUAAAUUUGUGGACUAAGAAUGUUUAGCUUGAAUGCUGUGAAUUUGGUAUGAAAGGUGACGUUGAGAGGAGAGUUUUGGCGGUUGUAUGACUGGAGUGCAGAAAGCUCAGAAAUCAGACAAGAACAGGAAGAAGUAGAAGAGAAGACAUGAGACCUUAGGCUUCACAGUGACAGAAGAGGGUUUGAUUUCUGCAAAAUAUUCUUCAGUUCCUAAGUUUUUCUCAUAAGACUUAAUACAUACAUGUUACUUUUAUAGGGCAUGCAGACUUCAAGAAAGAGAACUGCUCCAAGUAAAACUUGGUACUGAAAAUCUGGUAGCAUUUGCCUAUGGCAGAUAUAUUUGUAGAGUUGGCUUAUGCUCCAAGAAAGCAAAAAUUACAUAAGUGCUGCAUCUGCCUAAGAACAGAACCUAUGAGAGAAGUUACUAAAAGCCCCUAAACAUGCAGAAUUGCAAAAGAACAUUUAGUUAAAACUCAAGUUGGAGUUCUGUCAAAUUUCAAGUCUCUUCUAGUGUUUACAAGCCAUGCUGUCCGUUCCUCUUGACGGUCUUUGUCCUGCAAAAGCCAUUGCAACUUUAAAUUAAGAAGGGUCUUACCAGUUUAGUUGUGAAUUUUUUUUGCUUAUUGAUAGCAAGAAUUCUUUUUGUUUGUUGGGCGUAGGGCACACAUGUUUAUUUGUAUUUGACAGUAUCUUUGGGGUUUGCUUUUAGCGGUAAUAAGUUUGUUGGUGAAAUGACUAAUUCAACUCCAAAUGCAGUCAUUUGGGCAGUUUCUGGGUUUACACAUUGAUAUAAUCUAUUUGGAUUAUUAUAUUGGUAAAGACUUGUAAUUCUCUAAGUUCACCUACAUUAUGUCCCCAACACCCAUGGGGAAUCCUGCAGUAUGUGUGUAAUUAACUUUUUUUAUGCUUGUUUCAGGUUAAGCGAUUCAAAAAGCUAUUACAGAAAGCUGACAACAAUUCGUGUCCCUUGUAUCACAUUCCUCCACAAUCAGUGGAGUCACGUCGCUCCAUUUACACUUCAGGUAUUCUGUCUACUUUUGCCAGUUCCUAGAGUAAUAGGAGACCCACAUACAAGCACAUGAACUAUAAUCAUCUUAGAGUUGGGCUAGUAUCAACCUACUGGUGGGGUUUCAAUGCAAGACCAUUCGGUAUUAAUGUUUAAACUUUGUGCUAUUUACCAUCACACGAAGGGUGUAUUAAGGAAUAGUUUUCUUUCAUUGAGCCAAUGAUUCUAUGAGACAGGGAAAGUGGGAGACAUCAAACUCACUAUUGUUGAGGAACUGUGGGAUUUAACUAUUGAAAACCUCACAAAUUAUAGAUAUGCUUACAGAAGUGCGAAGAACUUUACAUAAAAGAGUUAUUAAUCUGGAAAUCCAGUGUCUGCAUAUCCUACCUUAACUGAUUAAUUAUCUUUUGCCAGCUUUGGAGAAACUAAAAGAGAGUGUCGAAUCAGAAGUUCACAGGAAGCGCAAAGCGCAAGUGUAAUUUGGAAAAGAAAAGGUAUGCAUGAAUUUAGCGAAUGUACUUAAAUUUAAUUUGCUAUAAUUCAUAAAAUGCUUGAUGAAUGUUGUAAGUAGGAAUACCUAUUAUUGUUUUUGUUUUAGAAUGUAAGAAAAAGUUUUGAUAAGUUGUCAUAUUUGUAUUUGUAAAUAAGUUCAAAUUGUCAAUGUGAAAUUUACAUUUUGCUUUUUGCUCCUAUGUGAAUGUCAACAUAUAAGAUACAAAUCAUUUUAAUGAUCUUUAUAUUUCUUCAUCAAAUGCAACAAUUACCAAAGGAAGUCAACAUUUUGAAUGCCUAUAUCAUCUCUUUGUUUAGUCAAACUUAUGUGGUUCUAAUUGAACUUUGAUAGUUCAAUUUACUUGACCAGUAUAAUUUCAACUAGUGACCUUCACUAUAAAUGAAUUACAAAUAAUCCAUGUAUUGGAUUUGAGAGUGCUGUACCUUGAGUUAGAGAGAGACCAAAAGUGGAUGGAGUAACUGUGGUGGCAUAAUAGCUUUUGGCCUGAUCAAAAGAUGGUGACCUUGAUUGAGCAGGAUCAGAAAAGCCGCUUGGGACAACGGCAUCUUUGAGUUAUGUUCUCUAAAUGGUUCCUCGCGCCAUAGACCAAUCUUCUCAUUUAGUGGAGACAAAAUGAUAAAUGUGACCUAAAAAUAUAAAUGUUGUCGGAUGCUUCGCUUACAGUUUUCAAAAAGGUCUAUCUCAAUGCAUGACAGAAGGGAGCUUCAGAUACACGUGCUUUUGGUUCAGAACAUGUUGCUAAUGUGUUCCAUGAAUAUUACCGAUAGAUUAAAGGUGAUAUGUAUGUUAGUCAGAGAGGUACUCAAUUCUCGAAUUCUUUUAUGAAUCUAAAUAUUCAUGCUCUUCUCACUGCAUUUUAAAAUAUGCGUGAGAAAGUGUUUUCUCAGUCUAUUUCCCAUUUUACUUGUUUCAAGUAUGAUAUCAUACAGAUGCUAAAAUCGUUAAUUAUAAUCAUCCAUUCUUUUUGGUGGCUUAGAUAUAACUAUGCAAUGCUUUCACAGAUAUUAUCCACUUUUUCAUGUAAUGUGGUCUUACUAAAUAUUAGCAGAAAAUCUUGAUAUCUACGACUCCUUUGGUUGUGAUUGGAUGUUUUUGUUCAGUUGCUAGUUCUGGUCUAUUUGUAGUCAGUCACUUCUUUUAAGCUCUAUAUAUGAUUUGUAUCUUUGUCUUGUACUGUUAAGGAAAUUGCAAAAUCAGAUGGAGAAAAAAAUUUAGAAAUUGGGUCAUGGGGCAUUUUUAAAGGUAAAUACUGGUACUAUUAUCCAAUGUCAGACAACUCUCAGGAAGGACAAUCAGGCUUGCCAUGGUAAGGCCCCAUGGAAAGAUAUAGUAGUUUCCUUGUGUACAUUGAUUGUGGAAAAUUUACCAAAGUGAAGAGUAGAAAACAUAGGUUUUUUGGAUUCUUUUGGUUUUUUAGAAAUUCUUAUAGAGCAUAAAAUGCAUGAGGUGAAAUAAAUUCUUUAUUCCUUUGUGUUGUGCAAGUAUAUAUUUCUGACUUUCAGGUCAGGGACGAACCUUAGUCCAUAUUGGUGUACCAAAAUACUUGGUUCUGGAGCUGAAUUUGUCUCACUGUCUACUGCAGCGUUGAAUACAGAUCAAGGAACGGAUAUUGCUGGUGAUCAUCAGUAACUUUCUAAAAUAUCGGGCUUGGUGCUCUUUAGCUGGUUCUGCACAUUGGAGCAGUCACAUGCUCAGAAAUCUGCUACGUGCUCUGGAGCAGUUUUGGGUUGUUUUCUCUGCUCAUAGGGCAUUCUGAUGCUUAACAGUGGAAUUGCCUUCGCAGAACUGAAAGACGUUGUGUGAUUGAAGGGAAACACCAUGUUCUUUGUGCAAUGUCAUGUGUCCUUUUGAGGUAGUCGAGUGAAGAAGCAAAGUAUGGCUCAAUUGAAAAGCUUCUGUAUGGCUGAAAUUGCCAGCCAUAUUGAGUUUAAAAGAUCUAAUUUAUUGUCGAUGUCCAUGACUUGCAGAAGCUUAACGUAACAGGAUUGAUAGAAGUUUGAACAUUGCGAUGAUGUAGACACGAGUUAUAUGCCAAAAUGGUUUUGGGUCACUGUAUAGAAAAGAUAAUCAGUACAAAAAAGUGAUAGUAUUGCAUUUAGUUCAUCAGUCAGGUAAUUGGUUUUGUUAUAUCGUUGUUGGUAGCGUUGAUUCUUGGUUUUGUUAUAAAUUUUUUACCGAGCAUGGUAAUCUGGAAAAUGGACGAAUCAAUACUUGAAACUUCUCACUUUUUCGUCUUCUACAGGUGCAUGAUAGUAGAGCUAAUAAGCCUGUUUACUUUGGGGAACAAGAACUGCAGUUAACCAUUUUUUUUUUAAUUACAGGAUAGCACCACAUUCUAGUGACGAUGAAAAUAAGAAUGCCUAAUUUAUAGUUGACAGGAUGAGGAAGAAGAAGCAGUUUGUGUGUUGCUAUCUUAUUAUGUGCUAUUUUAGCUUGUCUAAAUCAGGUUAAAAGUUUUUAAUAUCACAUAAAUUAAUUAAUUGAUGCCCCCUCCAAUCGUACACCUGCAUCUUGUGAGUGGUGAGAGAAGUAUUCAAUUUUCAAUCAAAACAAAGAAUCAUGAAAAGGAAGGAUCCUGCUUAUUUGGUGAAAGAACAAUUCGAGAGGAUGCCCUUAAAUUUUGCCCCUGCUUUUCAGGUUCUGACCAAAAAAUUCGUUUCUUUUGCCAGGCAACAAAAACCUCUGCCACUAGGUUUUUACAUUGACCUCGGUCAUCAGGAAACUUAUCUUUUUUAGGAAUGGAUCUCACUAGAAAUCUGGCUAAAUUCUUGCCUCAUGCUGUACCAUCUGUUCUCCAAUGCCAACAAAUAAUUUUCAACUGCUUCCCCUACUUUUCCAUGUCUACAAUAGUAUUUAUAGUCUUCCAAUUAUUCAUCCCCAUCCCAGGUUUCUUUCUUGCCAAAAGAAAAGGUUAAACCCCCAAGACCAUCCAGCAUCCCAUUACAAAGAACUUCCGAAACAAAACCCUUCUAGUUUUGGAAAAAAAGAAAAAAUUCUCUUCCUGAUCUUCUAUAUUGAUAAAAUGAGGAAGGAACUGAGCUAUGUCCUUGAAGUUGCUCCAUCCGCAAUGAUUUGCCCUCUGAAACCGUCCAUCAAUGCUCCUAGGCUUGAGACCAUUGCUGAAGAAUCAGCUGAUCCCAAGUUUUACAUUGCUAUCAAUAGAAAAACACUGUUGCUUCUUCCUAUAUUUCUUUCUUUUGCUUCCUAUUUGGUCGUAAACAGUUAUAAAUCUGCCUAUAUGAUGAACUAUGGCCUGUGAUAUCAUUUCUUAAUACCAUUUCCCUCAUAGUUUUGUAUAAGUCUCAACUCCUGCUCAUCAAGCUUUUGGAAUGAAGAAGAAAACAUAGCAACAUGACUUGAGAGAAAGAAUAAACCAGCUGCACCAGGAGAAUUAUGCACCAUUUCACUUGAAAUUCCUUCAAGGUUCUCUGAUUUAGACAUCGAAGACAGUGGUCGGAUGGUGUUUCAUCAUCCGCAGGCAAUGCAUUCUCAACGAAAAGAUUAGAACAUCACAUGCAUAGGCCAAGAAUGCAGGGUUGAACUAUUGCACCCUCGGUUUUGGAUGCAAUGGAAAAAAGCUCGUGAUCUCAUAAAAUUCAGAGACCAAUUCAGCCCACUCUUAACAAUUGGAAAAUGUUGAAAAUGAACAAUUUUUUGUACUAAUCUUCUUUUUUUUUUUUGUACUAAUCUUCUGAUCAUAGAUCUUUUUGGACCAAUCCCCAGAAAUAAAGCUUGUUCGAGUUGUUAAUUUUUUUUGUUUGGGGUUCAGUUUUCCCCCAUUUUUAUCCUUUCGCUUUUAGGGAACAAUGGUAUUAGGUGCAGAAGCAAAGAUUAACUCCCUUCAUAGGUUCCUUUAGGAAAAACAAAUUUCUGAAUCUGGCUCAGAAUGGGAGGCAUUUGAACAACUCGACAUAUUAUUUCUCCUCCUCUCGCAAUGCAUGCAACUCAAUCCUUUUGGGACUCAAUGAUGCCCAAAAGACAAUUUGUCGGGAUAGUUUGGGAGAUCAAGAGUUUGGAUUUCCAGAGAAUUUAAGAUUUGGAAAAAAAAUAAUUGUAUAUUUUAAAAUGGUGUGUGAAGCUCACACAAUAGUGUUCAAAGUUUACAGUGUAUUCUCUUUUGUAUAAUCAGUGCUUUGAUACAACAGUUGCUAUCCUUUUCAAUUACUGCAAAACUCCUGCUCAAAAGCAUCAAGGUCUCUCUUCCAAUUGAUCAGACUAGCAUCAACAUUUGAUAUUGGUUUGAGUUUUUGAACUGUGCCACAUCUUUCAAAACUAAAUUCUUGGGCCACAGUUUUUCUUGUUCUAAUUCCUGCAUAGAAAACAAUCGAAUUCAGUACCUGGCAACCAAGUCUUGGUUCUUCCCACUUGAGAAAACACACAAGGUAAUUAGGGAUUCUGGACAAGCAAGAGAGUCAUUAGCUUCAAGACCCGAUAAAGCUUAGCUCAUUUGCUUUUGAGACCCAUUUCAAAUUUUUAUAAACAUGACAUCAGGAAAAAGAACAGAAACAAUGAUAUGAUUAACUAAUCUUCUGAAUUCUAAUUUAACCAUACUAAGAGCAUCUCCAACCGCGUACAAUAAGCGGUGUAAUAUCUGACAGUUUAAGGGUUGGUUACACGGCCACCUAUUAUGGCCGUAUAAUACCCAUUACACGCAUCAUCAGAAUGAUACGUGUAAUGGGUGAGCCACUCAUUACAAAAUUUAGCAGGUAGACAAAAUUUUGCCCAACAAACUUGUUCCAACGUUCAUUUUUUUGCAACUUGUUUCAAACUAGUAUUCAUUUUGUUAUUAUUUGUAUGUUAUUUGAUUUAAAUUAUGUAAUAUCAUGUUAUGGAGUUCAACUAAUUACAUAAAGAAUUAUUAAUUAAGUAUGGAUUAUUAUGAUAUCUUCGCAUUUUGAGGUAUCACAUAUUUGUUUAAUGUUCUACAUAAUUAUUUUUUAAAAAAUAACAAUAGAUUAUUUUUGAGAGAUAGAAAAAGAUAUAUUGUUCAAACUUAGAAAUUAAUAAUAUUCUUUUUAGAAAAUAAAAAAUUCAAAAGGUAAAAAAAUUAAUGAAAGUUUAUACUUUAUUUUUUGAAAAUUAAAAAAUUAUUUUUAAAAAUUACUUAUUUAUUUAUGGGAUAUGAGUUAUUCAUUAUUAAAAUAAAUAUUUGAUUUAAUUGUGAAUCCAUGCUAUUGCACCUUGUGGAGUGUAAUCUAUUGUGAGUGAAAGUAAUAAAAGAGGAGAAAAUGAAAUACUGACGUGGCAUGUGAAUUACACUGUAAAGAGUGUAAACUAUUGUGGAUGCCCUAAUAUCAAAUGAAAAUUCCAGCACAGAUGGAUAGAAUUUUUAGUUACAUUGCAUUUCAAUUAAGCUGAUUUUGGAACCAUAAAACCAAUUACAUAUAUGCUUCUUAAAUUAUUAUUUUUUAUACAGAAAUAAUAAGCAUUCAAGAUCAGGCCUUACGUAUCUAUAUCAAGCUGUAUGGGAAAAAUUCUACCAGCACUCAAAAAUGAACAUCCGUUGCACAUUAUCUAGGGAAAGAAAACAAACAAGUCUGUUUUUCAUAUUACUAACCCUCCACUGUCACAAGAGUCUUCUUACUUGAAUUCUGCAAUUUCAAAUACACGGGCAGUAGUAUCAAGAGAAACUGAAACCAGGAAAUCCCCACUGGCAGACAAAGCCAAAGAUUGAAUGGCAUGAUCAUGCCCACUAAACGUUCUCACGCAAUCCCCAGAGAGACUGUCCCAUAUUCGUACUUUACCAUCAACACUUCCGGUUGCCAAAAAUCUGGAUGCACCCAGCCAUAACAAGCAUGCAACGCCUUCCUGCAUGACAGAAGAUUAUAAAUUAAUAGGAAAGCAGCAAGAAAAAGACAGAUGAUAAUCACAAAGCUUAUUUGAGCAAUGGCAUUAACCAACACAAGUCGUUAGUCACUCGUCAAAAAGCUAAUGUAAAUGUAAUUCUAGAAAUGAAGGGGGAAACAUCUUUAUUGGAUAUAAAACCAAAGCAACUCAAGACAACCUCAUGUUCACAGGUGCACCGAGAACUCAGAUGCUGAAGAUCCCAUACAAUGAGCUUCUGAUCCAUGCCUCCUGUUGCUGCCCAUGGAGAGCUGCCAGACGAAGUUUGAAUCAAGAUAGUAGUUUAAGGUAUUAUAUAAUGGUAGCCAACAAAUGGGUGAAAAAAUCGAGUUUAUUAACUGCAUAAUGGCUUCAAACAAGAAAGAAACAACAAACAGGAGUCCUGCAGAACGAACUCUCAGGAGAUUGUUACAAUCCAUUCUCAUGUUAACAAAGUUCAACAAAAAGUUUCACUUAAAUAAUCUCAUGAAAUUGUUGACCUGAUCUUUUAUGCAGAGCAAUGGAAAUAUCAGUGGAUUAGGUGUGGGAUAGAUAAUUUGAAACUUAAAGCUGCAUUACAGCUCCACUUGAAUCCAACCCUGGCAGCUCAUACAGUUACAUGUAUGAGCACUUGGAACAUAUAAAAGAUGUCUUAUGAACCUCCAAACAAGCUCCUAAAGCAUUUCAACCAACAUGAAACACAGACAGCCUUCUUAAGGAAAUUGAAUUUUGCCCCAGUUUUUUUAUACUAUCCAAAUACUUGCACCUAGAAUGCAGAGAACUUUGCAGUUGACAAAACUUGGAAAUUGCUAUCUUGUAUGAUCUCACAAAAAUAAUUCUGAUGUAUUAAUUUAGCAUUGAAGUUCCAUACAAAGAUCAAAAGUCAAACUUGUCUGAUAUAUCAAUUUCGACAAAGUGGGCAAUAGACUAGAUUGCCGGGUUCACCAUAACUAAAUAUAAGUGUUUCCCAAUAAACAGGUUAUAUGCAUAUAAUAGUGUCGAAGAUAUUAUCUCCUAUGAUUAUGGGAGAUAUUAUCUCCCAUGAUUAUCUCUCAUGACAACGGGAGAUAUUAUCUCCCAUGAUUAUGAGAGAUAUUACCUCCCAUGAUUAUGGGAUUUUAUUGCUUAUGAUCAAUCAAGUUUGAAUAGAUUAACUAAAAUAAAAGAUAGGAUAUGAGUUGAUUAUGUAAUCCCUAAAAUCAUGGUUCUAUAACCUUAAGUUGUGGCAGAACUAUGAUAGGGUUGUCCUAUAAAUGCCAACCUCCCAUGAUUAUGGGAUUUUAUUGCUUAUGAUCAAUCAAGUUUGAAUAGACUAACUAAAAUAAAAGAUAGGAUAUGAGUUGAUUAUGUAAUCCCUAAAAUCAUGGUUCUAUAACCUUAAGUUGUGGCAGAACUAUGAUAGGGUUAUCCUAUAAAUGCCAACCUUGUAAGCAUAUUUGAUGUGUGGGAAAAUAAAGAAAAGCAGAGUUUUUUGUUUAUUUCCUUUUCUUUUUAAAAGUUUACAUGGUAUCAGAGCUCCAGCUCUGUACCAAUUCCUGCCAUGAACUACCGAGCAGCCAUGACUGGAUCUACUGCUCACACGAGAAGACUCAUCCUCGUCUUCAGUAGUUAUCCAAACUACAGAUUACUCUACUUCAAAUUCUUCUUCCCUACAAAUAACCGUUCAUAAAUUAAAUGGUUCCAAUUAUCUGGAAUGGACUCAAUCCGUAAAACUGGCUAUUGAUGGCAGAGGUAAACUCGGCUACCUUACUGGAGAAAUUCAACAACCAGCAGCUGAAGAUCCCAAUUUGAAGAGAUGGCAUUCAGAGAACUCUCCGGUUAUCGCUUGGUUGAUAAACUCUAUGGAACCAGCGAUAGGAAAGCCACACUUAUUUCUGCCCACAGCCAAAGAUGUGUGGGACGCUGUCCGGGAUAUAGAGAAUUCCUCUCAAAUUUUCAAUCUCAAGACGAAAUUGUGGGAAUCAAGACAAGAAGAUAGAGAUGUUACAAUCUAUUACAAUCAGAUGGUAACUUUAUGGCAAGAAUUGGAUAUUUGUUAUGAAGAUGGAUGGGACUGCCGUGUAGACAGUGUUCGAUACAAGAAACGGGAGGAGAACGACAGAGUCUAUGUCUUCCUGGCCGGACUAAAUCAAGAACUUGAUGAGGUAUGAGGUCGUAUUUUGGGCAGGAAGCCUCUUCCCUCCAUUCGUGAAGUAUUUUCUGAGGUCAGAAGAGAAGAAUCAAGGCGUAAGGUGAUGCUAAAGUCCAAGGCAGAGUAUGAAGUUGAGACUUCAGCAUUGGUUUCUAAGGGGACAGAUUUUGACGGAGAUAAAUGAAGGGAGCCUUGGCGUGAACACUGUAAAAAGCCAUGGCACACAAAGGACACGUGCUGGAAAUUACAUGAGAAACCAUCGAAUUUCAAGAAGAAAAAUGGAGGUGAUAGCAAGGUGUUGCAGACUGUGAAUGAGGAUUCUCAAAAGCAACAAACUGACUCUGAAACACCGGCCUUCACAAAGGAACAAUUAAGCCAACUGUACAAACUCUUUAAGUCUCCACAAUUUUCAGUCACUGAGCCAAAAAGCUUCACUCCUUUCUGUUCUUUUGCUAAAAAUGAUAAUCCUUUUACUGUUGCUCUUUCAUGUAAAACAUCAAAUGCAUCUUGUCCACGGAUUGUAUGGGUUAUUGAUUUUGGGGCCACUGACCAUAUGACUAGUUCAUCACAAUUAUUUUCUACCUACAGUCCAUGUGCAGGUAAUAAAAGGGUCAAGGUUGCUGACAGAUCAUUAUCCGUCAUAGCUGGCAUAGGUUCCGUUGUCAUCUCUCCUACUCUUAACACUUCAUAGAGUUUUUCAUGUUCCAAAUUUAUCAUGCAAUUUGCUGUCCAUAAGUAAAUUAACUAGGGAUCUCAAGAGUCGGAUUAAUUUUUUCCCCUCUUUUUGUGAGUUUCAGGAACUGACCACGGGGUGGAUGAUUGGAUGUGCUAGAGAAAAUGGGGGACUUUACUUCCUUGAAGAUGGAUCAAAUAUGGCAACACCAAUCAAAAACACAUGUUACGGGUCUGUCUCUAUUUUUUUUUUUAUGGGUCUGUCUCUAUUACUAGUACUAGUAAUAAAGAGAUUAUGUUAUGGCACUUUAGACUAGGACAUCCUAGUUUUUAUGACAUGAAAUACUUAUUGCCAGAUUUGUUUAAAAAUAAAGAUUCAUCUUCCUUUCAAUGUGAAAUCUGCGAAUUGACUAAACAUCAUCGGUCUACAUUUUCUAUACGGCCUUAUCAACCCUCAAAACCGUUUUUUCUAUUACAUACUGAUGUUUGGGGUCCCUCUAGAAUUUCAACUCCAUCUGGAAAAAAAGUGGUUUGUUACAUUCAUCGAUGAUCAAACAAGAGUUUGUUGGGUGUAUUUGUUAAGAGAGAAAUUAGAGGUUGCAAGUGUGUUUCAAAAUUUCUACAGCAUGGUUUUGACCCAAUUUCAAGAAAAAAUCAAAAUUGUUCGGAGUGACAAUGGAAAAGAACAUUUCAAUAAAAUUUUGGGAAGUUUUUUUCUUGAAAAAGGGAUUGUGCAUCAAAGCUCCUGCAAUGAUACCCCACAACAGAAUGGGGUAGCUGAAAGAAAAAAUAAACACCUUUUAGAAGUGGCAAGGGCAUUACUUUUUUCAAGAAAUGUUCCUAAAUAUCUAUGGGGUGAAACAAUUUUAACUGCUACAUAUCUCAUAAACGGAAUGCCCUCAAGAACUUUGAAUUUCCAAACUCCUCUGAAUUUUUUCAAAACACUUUAUCCCAUUUCUCGAUUAACAUAUGAAGUCUCAUUAGAGGUGUUUAGGUGCAUAGCCUUCGUUCACAAUCAUGAACAAGGUCGAAGUAAGUUAGACCCUCAAGCAAGAAUAUGCAUUUUUGUUGGAUAUGCACCCACACAAAAGGGGUAUAAAUGCUUUGAUCCCAUUUCCAAAAAAAAUGUUUGUAACCAUGGAUGUAAUAUUUUUUGAAGAUAAAACUUUUUUUGGAGAUCCUCUUCAAGGGGGGACUCGGCAUGUAGAAGAACUUGUAGAAGAUGAUGAUGUUUUGCGUAUUGAAAAUCAAAUUCCUGAUCAAAAUUUUGUUGACAAGAGAAUCGAUUUUUCUGAUUUUUUUAGAAGAAUCUACAUCACAAUUUCC
rnacentral:lncRNA from 1 species